GAGAAUUGCUCAUCGAGAGCGAGAGCUCGGUUUUGUUUAUUAUGCCUGAGCGGCGCGAAUAAGCGCUCGCGGUGCUUAUCUAUCAAAAAAUUUAAUUAUCUCGCCUCGCGUAGAGCCAGCCACGCGGUCGCUGGUAAAAAUGCGAGAGCGCGUUUACGCAGUCAUUGCUCUCGCGCACGCGAGCGAGCAAGUUCGAGCCUCCGCGCAAACAGCGCGCGGCGUUACGAAACGAGAUCGAGAAAGAGAGUGCGUUUAAUAUUGUGAGUGCUGUCUGCGAUUAUCGAAACUAUUAUUAUUCAUCCGGAGCCCGGCAGCGGCGUCAGCAUGUUUGUUUACUCUCGCCGCAGACGGAAAAGAUAAGUCGAGAGAGAGAGAGAGAGAGAGAGAGAGAGAGAGAGAGAGAGAGAGAGAGAGAGAGAGAAAAGAGGGACUUUGCACCGAGUGCCUCCGACGAGCUUCACAAUCAACUCGAUGAGUGGUUUAUAUAUAUAUACGUACAUUCGGCAAACAUUUGCGGCGAUAAUCCGAGCAGGCACGCGCAGUUCGGAGGAAAUAAAAGUCAUAUCUUUUCGACAGUUUGCUCCGCUCAGAAGUGGGGAGAGGAGUGAGGAGCAGCAGCGGCAUCAAGAAUAUUCUCAUCUCUCCGCAAGUUCUUGAACAAACCGACGAGUGAGGCGAGCGGGCGGUUGAAUAACUUGAAUUUUAAUACGCGCGCGAGCGCGGGAGAUAGACGCCGCGCACCGGCAGAAAGUACGUAUAUAGAUAUAUGUAUAUACAUAUUCGAGCGCCGAAGGCAGCCGCGUCCGUGCUGACGGAAUAAUUUAGCUAGAAACCGGAAAGCAAACAUUUUAAAAAGUUAUCGGACGGAGAAGUAUGACACGAGGGAUUUGUUUUCGUUUAACAAGUGAAUGAACGACGCGGAAGAGUCCAAGUGCCCUUCGCGAGUUUUGUGCGCGAGAGUAGAGAUUUUUUCGGCGGCAAAGUUGGAGAGAGCCGAGAGUGACGCGAUACAGUUUUAAGUGAAUUAAUACUGAUGUGCAUGCGGUCGAGGCUGUGUUCCGCGCAGCGAGUACGUUCGAAAGAUUGCGAAUGACGCGUUGAACGAAGUCUAAUGUAAAUGCAGACGAAAAUAAUGUAGUCUGAGGCUGAUUAUUCCAUCGUGCAUUUUAAAAGACACUUUGAAUUUUGGAAAACGUCAGCGAAUAGUUUAACAAAAAACUUCGGACGUACGACGGGCACAACGAAUUUCAUCAAUCCAGCGGGGAAAACAAAACAAUACGCGCAUCUUCAUCAUCGAAAGCGGCGCAACUACGCUGUUUACGAACGAGGAGGAGUAAGACGGCUAAGAAGAAAGAGGGGCGCAGUUCGAUCCUCAUAUAUUUUUUCGCAUCUGCAAGCCAGCCAGCCGCCGAGCGUCAACAGCUGACACGCUAACCUCUCGCCAAUCGACCGGCGGGCGCGCGCUGCUGUACAUCGGGCCGAUGAUUGAAUAAGAUUUCUCGCGAGCAUCGCAAGGCGCCGCGACCGCAGCGGCAGUCCAGUCCGUUUAUCUCCUCGACGAUCGCCGGGACCAAGCCGAGUUUAUUUUCCAGUCAGCAGCAGCCGCAUCAGAAUCGAAAAUGAUCAAGAACGUGCGCUUCCUCUUCGCGAUCAUGUUGUGCAUCGCCAACAUGAUCAUCUACGGCCUUAAGGUCAAUGUCUCCACGGCCAUCAUCGGCAUGGUGAAGGCCAAACCGAAAACCGAUGUACCGGACGUAGGGGAAUGUGACUUCGGAAGCAGCGCCAACACAACCGUCGCCGACAUAGACGGGCCAUACGACUGGUCAUCCACGCAGCAAGGACUCGUGGUCAGCAUAUAUUUUGCAGGCUACCUUAUCGGCAUGUUUCCGUCCGGAUACUUUGCUGAUCGAUUCAAUACGAAGUGGGUUCUGUUAAUUUGCGUCUUUUGCAACUCUCUGUUUACGUUGCUGGUGCCCGUUGCUGCUGGAUCACUCUACGUCCUCUACGCUCUUCGUUUUCUCACCGGCCUCGUGAGCGCGGCCAAUCUGCCAAUCGUGAACGUCCUCGUGGGUAAAUGGGUCGUCUACGAGGAGAAGAGCAUGUGGGUGGGUAUAAUCUAUGCCGGAACGUCCCUCGGCACCGUCAUCUCCAUCCUCACGUCCGGCUGGAUCCUGAAUUAUCUGGGCUGGGAGAUGAUCUUCUACAUCCACGGAGUCUUGCCCUUGAUAUGGUGUGUGGUAUUUGCUAUCUUCUUCGCCGACAAUCCGGAGACGCAGAAGUACAUCACCGAAGAAGAGAGGCAGCUGCUGAUCAAUACGUACGGACAUAGGGGCCCGGUCUCGACUAAGGUCAAAAUCCCCUGGAAAUCUAUUUUCACGUCCACUCCGUUCCUAGCUCUGAUCGUAACAAAUUGUCUGGGCAACUUCUGCUGGUAUUUCUUGCUCACGCAGAUGCCACUCUACAUGAACAAGAUGCUUAGGUUCGACAUCAAAACUAAUUCGACGAUAACCUGCACUCCCUACUUGAUUAAUGCAUUCACUAACUCGGCGCUUGGAAAAGGGUUGGACUACGGUCGUAGACGGGGAUGGUGGUCUCAGACUGGUGCUCGAAAGGUCGCAGUUGGAAUAAGUUGUCUUCCCGUUGUUGUAUUUUUGUUGAUAAUUGCGUACAUCGGAUGUAAUCGAGAGGUGACUGUGUUCCUGUUAUGCUUGAGUAUCAUCACAUCCGGAGCGAUUUUCGUUGGCCAUCUCUGCAAUCAGAACGAUCUUGCGCCUAACUACGCUGGAAUUUUGAUGGGAAUAACUAACACACCCGGAACUAUUUCCGCAUUCGUUCUUCCUGCUCUAGUCGGCGCUCUUGUAGAAAGCGGACACACAUUCAUGCAAUGGCGAUACGUUUUUUGGAUAAAUAUCGUCGCGCAACUUCUGGCUUUCGGAGUUUUCACCAUUUUCGGCUCGGCCAAAAUACAGAACUGGAAUUACCCGGGUGGUGUACCUCCGGCACCACCAUCUGCCGAAUCAAAAUAACGAAAACAUUCCGCCAGUAUUUCUGCUAUUUUUUUUAUACAAAAAUUUUAUCAUCUGGUUACAAACUCCAAGGCACAAAAUAUUCAGAGCACUCUAAACGGUUUUAUUUUUGGAAACCCAUUCAAAGCGUGCUUUCUAGAAAUGUUAAAAAUACGUAUGAAUCAACGAUUGCAAACAGCAAAAAUAUCAUCAGAAGCUAAACGAUCUCAAUCGAGUCAACAGAUUAUCAUAAGUAUGCAAAAGAUAAGUAAACUCUUACCUCUCACUACUCA